UGGGGAAUCUUCGGCAAUGGACGAAAGUCUGACCGAGCAACGCCGCGUGAGUGAAGAAGGUUUUCGGAUCGUAAAACUCUGUUGUUAGAGAAGAACAAGGACGUUAGUAACUGAACGUCCCCUGACGGUAUCUAACCAGAAAGCCACGGCUAACUACGUGCCAGCAGCCGCGGUAAUACGUAGGUGGCAAGCGUUGUCCGGAUUUAUUGGGCGUAAAGCGAGCGCAGGCGGUUUCUUAAGUCUGAUGUGAAAGCCCCGGCUCAACCGGGGAGGGUCAUUGGAAACUGGGAGACUUGAGUGCAGAAGAGGAGAGUGGAAUUCCAUGUGUAGCGGUGAAAUGCGUAGAUAUAUGGAGGAACACCAGUGGCGAAGGCGGCUCUCUGGUCUGUAACUGACGCUGAGGCUCGAAAGCGUGGGGAGCAAACAGG
rnacentral:rRNA from 1 species